CAAUAGCGUAUAUUAAAGUUGUUGCGGUUAAAAAGCUCGUAGUUGGAUUUCAGCCUGAGACAACCAACUCGUCCUUCGGGAUUGACGUUCGGUGUGGCUUAGGCAUUCUUGGGAUGUGCGGAGUCGCUUGACUGUGACCCGUGUAGACCAGGACAGUUACUUUGAGGAAAUUAGAGUGUUUCAAGCAGGCGUCUGCCUUGAAUACAUUAGCAUGGAAUAAUAAUAUAGGGCUUCGGUUCUAUUUUGUUGGUUUCUAGAGCUGAAGUAAUGAUUAACAGGGACAGUCGGGGGUAUUCGUACUUAACUGUCAGAGGUGGAAUUCUUGGAUUUGUUAAAGACGAACUACUGCGAAAGCAUUUGCCAAGGAUGUUUUCAUUGA
rnacentral:rRNA from 1 species